rnacentral:lncRNA from 1 species
UUGAUUCCAAUUAAUGUCGAAAGGCAACUCUUACUCUUACUUUUAGGAUUCUAAUUCCUAGAUUUCUGAUUAUUUAAAAUAUGAAUCCUACCAUGUACCGAAACAAUAAAAUCAAUCAAAAGGAAUUCUAUAAAAAAACUUUAUAAAAAAACUUUUUCAGAUUUCAACGAAAAGGAUUAGUAAACCCUGCCGAUUUUGAACCUUUGAAUCAUAAUAUGAAAUGAGUCAAAUCAAUAAGGUAUAGCACAAAUCCAAUUUCUCUAAAAUAAUAAAACAAAUACUAAACUAAGCACUAAGCAAGAAAAUAUCUUAGUAUGUGUAGUAUCUCAUUGGAGAACCACUAUGUCUAUCUUAUUUCCCAUAAAAAAUUCACUUAAUUUAAUCACUUUUAAUAACUAAUAAAAGAACUGCUUUCGUU